UCCCACGUAAGACCCCGGCCGGCAUCCUCGUCCGUCAUGAACUCCUCAGCGCCGCACCGAGGCAUCCACGCCGCCACAUCCUUGAGAUCAUCCACCCGGCAACCCGGUGACGAAGGUCACGAAGACGUCAUGCCCGAAGGUCUCACCAAAAUCUUGGCUUCGUCCGGCAAUUUGGUUAACCUCUACGGGAGAGCUGACAACUUGGCGUGCGCUCGUAAGUUGUUUGAUCAAAUGCCGGAGAAGAUCGUGGUUCCUCGGACUUGCUUCAUUGCUGGAUACGCUUGGAACUGGUCCCCUGACGGAUCUGUCGACUGUUUUGCUUGAUGAUCUGGGUCUCGAUUUUAGCGUGCUUUCUUCAUUUCCGGCAGCGUCGUCUUCAAGCAUGUCUUGGAAAACAAAUACAUAGGCUAAACUCAAACACCUGGCAUUCUGCAAUCAUUUUGGUGUCUUCAUGCACUGAAUUCGAUGUACAAUGAUUUCUGUUUGGAUUUCACAUGGGAUGCUCGGUGAGUGUUUCGUCAGACACCAGCAAAGAAUUCCGUCAAGUGGAUCUUAAACAUCUCAGCGAACUCACUGAGAAGGGAUGUCAUCUCUUCCUUUGAGCUGUUCUCAGGAAUUUAAACUGGGAGUUCAAUACGCUGUUUGAGACAGAGUUCUAUUGCACUCCCUCAGAAGCAGGUGUCAAGUUCCUGAGGUUAAAUUGGUGGCUCUGGCCAAGCUUUAGAAUCUUGAAGAUAGGGUUUUCAAGACUCUCUCUCUCUCUUCUGUACAUGCCCUUUUAUGCUUGUAAAACUUGAGGAAGACAAUUUCAUCAGUUUAUUCUUUUAGAACA